CCUACGGGAGACAGCAGUGAGGAAUAUUGCGCAAUGGACGAAAGUCUGACGCAGCCAUGCCGCGUGCAGGAUGACGGCCCUAUGGGUUGUAAACUGCUUUUGUAUGGGAAUAAACCCUUCUACGUGUAGAAGGCUGAAGGUACCAUAAGAAUAAGCACCGGCUAACUCCGUGCCAGCAGCCGCGGUAAUACGGAGGGUGCAAGCGUUAUCCGGAUUUAUUGGGUUUAAAGGGUCCGUAGGCGGGCCGAUAAGUCAGUGGUGAAAGCCCAUAGCUCAACUAUGGAACUGCCAUUGAUACUGUCGGUCUUGAGUAUAUGUGAUGUUGGCGGAAUGUGUAGUGUAGCGGUGAAAUGCUUAGAUAUUACACAGAACACCGAUUGCGAAGGCAGCUGACAAAUAUAUAACUGACGCUGAGGGACGAAAGUGUGGGGAUCAAACAGGAUUAGAUACCCUGGUAGUCCACACCGUAAACGAUGAUUACUAGAUUUUGGCCUUAUGGUCAGAGUCCAAGCGAAAGUGUUAAGUAAUCCACCUGGGGAGUACGUCCGCAAGGAUGAAACUCAAAGGAAUUGACGGNGUGAGAGNGCGAGGACGACGACGAGGGAGGAGG
rnacentral:rRNA from 1 species